rnacentral:lncRNA from 1 species
GAACAUAAGACUAAGGGGGAAAAAAGGCCUUAUGUUUAGAGUUUGUUUUAGGACCUAGAAGUGUUUGAUGCCUUUUUUGGAAAUAUCAGCCAUCGUCUCCCUCUAGAUCAAUUUGUUGCCGAAGAACACAAGUUUGAGAUAUAUCUAGGGCUAAUCAGAGAGAAACUGUCUCCAAGCAACUCAUUAAGGAGACUGUAGAGGUACCCUCCUAAGUGGACUAAAGCCUGAUACGAUAAGUCCAAUCUUGGCAAUCCCAAGUUGGUGAUGGCUGAUUAGGGUUAAGUUCACAAGGCUUUUAUAAAUAGAAGCCUCCUCCUCAGCAUAAAACAGAUCUGAGACGAGAUAGAGAAGACAAGACGAGGUGUGGUUGUCUUCAUCUUUGGGUUUUGUUUCUUCAUUGACGCCAUCCGUGGGACACGACAACUAACACAUCUCACUCUUCUCUACAAUUUGGUGUUUUUCAAUGAUCCACCUGAUUAUCCUUUUUAUAUAACCCGAGCCGAACCGGGCCGAAAAAUAUUAUAUAACGAUAGACAAACACCCCUAAAAUUUUUCGCCCCGCAUGAAAAAUUUUUUUGGGUCCACCACUAUCUAAGCACCUCACGCAAUUUAAAACUAGGGGCAAUUCCGAUCCAAAUUAAUAGAUUUGGUCGUUUUAGGUGUUUUUUAAAUUGCAAUGGGUCAGUUUGGGCUUCUUUUUAGUGACUAACGUGUCCAGUUGGGCCAUCCACCAAAACACAGAUAUUUCGGGUCAACUUGGGUUUGGAUGUUUAAAGGAACGGGUUAUGAAAAAAAGAGGCGGGUUGAGAGUUCGUAGCAUCUAGGGUUUUCUACAAAUUGAUAACAAAUCAAUGUCCAAGCUGUUAGAACUCAACAAAUCACCUACAAAUCAUCUUCAAUCGUGGGUUUCAACUUCAUCUACCAUAGGGAAAAAGUAUUUGUAGUUGAAAGGUAUGUCAAACAACUCCUAAUCUGGACAACAUAAUAUAGAGGGGGAUUAUGAGGAAGAAGGAAGUUCAUAUAGUUCAGGUAAACAUCGUUCUUACGUUUGCAACUAUUUUGACCCAUUACCAGUUGCACCCAAUGGCGAUGAAAAAAGGAAAAUGUAGUGCUUGUCUUUUGCAAUUAUUCCAGAUCCUCAGGUUAAGCUUGUUGAUUAUCGUUUUUCAAAUCUUAACAUGAGAUCUAAAGGGCAUUAAAUGAAAUUGAAGUGUAUUGUGGAUGGUAUGCAUGAGCUAUAUGAUAAGGAGUAUAAUAUUCAAUCGGAGAUAAUGCAUGAUUCUUCAAUACCCGAGAGUUCAAAUGUUGGUGACAAUACGCUUGACGAGUUGGAUGGAUUCGAUACAUUUCAAAGCCAAUACAAAGUAGUUGAUAAUGAAAAGUCAAAGUUAAUAUUGUAUUUGGAGGAACCUGACCUUGAUAGAAAAGUAGAACUUGAAAAGUCACAGUUGACUGUGAUGGUUUGCAAUAUAUUGAGAAUACCGAUUACUAUUGUUGUUUCCGAAUCAUCUUUUAGUAUCGGGGGUCGGAUGCUAAGUAAGUAUCGAACUUCAUCGUUAUCAUCAAAUGUUGAGGCAUUGCUAUGUACACGUGAUUGGUUAUUUGAUUUAGAAGAUAUUAAAGUUUAUUCAGUUUUGC